GGCGCUGGAGAAAGAAGAUAGGGUUUAGGAAGUAGUAUAAUUUAUAUUGGAUAGAGUAAAUUACUAUAACCCCCUAAUACUUAAAAAAAUAGUACUUAUACCCUUUUGAGCCAUUCACGAACCUAUCAAGCCUAGUAGUGGGUGGUUCAUAACUCGGCUCGAGAGAGUACUCGAGCCGCUCGAGCUCAAGCUCGGCUCGACAAAAGUCGAGCCGAACCUAGCUUGCUUACAGCCCUAGGUAUAACUUAUAGAGAGUGGGCAUCGGGAGCUAAGUCAGCAGCUUUGAUUGGAGACUUCAAUAACGGGAAUCCCAAUGCAGAUAUCAUGACCCGGAAUGAGUUUGGGAUCUGGGAGAUCUUUUUGCCUAACAAUGCUGAUGGUUCACCAUCAAUUCCCCAUGGUUCUCGUGUGAAGAUUUGAAUGGAGACACCAUCUGUCAUUAAAGAUUCCAUACCUGCUUGGAUGAAGUUCUCUGUACAAGCUCCAGGUGAAAUCCUAUACAAUGGUAUAUACUAUGAUCCACCAGCAGAGGU